GCACUAUACCUCCCAGGGGAACCUGGCCCUUAAUUCGAUGAUCCACGAAUCUCUUACCUUUCCUUGUUUAAGCAUGCCCUGAUUGGGGCAUGUUUCUAUCAGUUUGCAUACCGCCGUUUUCAGCUUGUAUCGCGAGAUAAAAGAAACAGGCUAAUCAGCACUGUGAGCAUGGCCUGCUGGUGACAGGCAGGUGAUGGCACUGCUAGGAAUUCAGGUAAACGUGUAGCCAAUGGAAAGGGGGCGCUGGGUUACAAUUGAGGUUUGAAGUGGAUGGCAGCCCGAAGGGGCUGUUUGAAAGCGUACUUGGAAGUAAUGGCUUUGGGCAAUGAAGCCGUGAAUGGUGCUCUGGUGUGUGU
rnacentral:rRNA from 2 species